GAGGAGAAGGGGAGGGAGACGGAGACGGAGGCGGCCGCCCGCCCGCCGCUGUGCCUGUCUGAGAGGAAAGAAAAUGGAAACCGCGCUUUUCAGUGGUCCACAAAGGAUUUCCAUUUGUUGAGUGAAAUCAGCUUGAUAGCAUGUCCCUGCACCUCCCUGAUCAGCUACUGCAUCACUGGAAAUGCUUGCAAACCUACCAGAAGAUCAGGCAACUAGAAGGGAGAAAUGUGGGACUCAAGGAUCCUCUGAUAUUCAAACCUACGCCACAUUCCACUUGAAGCACUGAAUGGAAACUCAGAAGUGAAGGCUUAACUGGCAACAGGAAUAAGAAGACAAAAACCUGUAAGCGUGGGAGAAGAAAAGGAGGCAGCAGAAGGACACAGAAAGACUCAGUCUGGCCCUGUAUGGAAUAGGAGAGGUUCAACCACUCCUGGUUCUGGAAAUUUAAUUGCAGAUCCAAGGUUUGCAAAACAAAAGCCUAAUAUGGAGUUUGUUGGCCCCAGGUUACAAGGUGGAAACCUGGAAACCUUAAGAGUCAAUUCAAGCAAACUGGUAAGACUGAGCUGAAAAUAGCGUUGAAAAACAAUUGACAGAAAUUAUUAGUUGAAAUACGUUAAAUUUUUGAUCAUUUAUUUGUUUUAACUAUUUGUUAAUCCUUGGUGUUCUUUCCCUAUUCCUGUUAUUCUUUACCCAUUUGUAAAAAAGGUAAAGAGCAUUAAUAUGCUGAGAAACACGAACAGGCAAAAUGGUAAGUUACAGGGAAGUGCAAAUCGUUUUGCACCUGCAGAUGGGACCUCCAGCCCGACUGUGACUCCAGUGACAGACUUCCCUCUUUUACUCUCAAAUCAUCCAUGCAGUACUUCAUUCCUGCAAAUGUGUAAUGCAGGUAAAUUGUUCCACUGUCUCCAGGAAGACUAGAUUUAACCUCAAGCCUAAUUUUUAUAUUCAGUGGUUACUUAAACCAGUCUGAUUUUUUUCUGCGGUCAAUUUUAGAUAGGAAGAAAAAGGUUGUUCUUUCUGCUACCUCUUAGCUGUGACAAUUCCUUUGAUUCUUUUUCCCUUUAUUUCUCUCUUUGGCCUGAGCUAUAAAACCCAAAAUUGAUAAAACCCUGACUUACAAAGCAUUAUGAUUACAAAAAUAGUCUAAAAUGGACUUGCAAAGCAGGGAGAGCAGAACAGGCUCUUGUGGCUGAGGGGAAGGUAAAAGCAGCAGAAGUUAUGCAAUUAAAAAAGAUACACUGUUAUAUCAGAAUAUAAGUCAGCAGCUGGGAAACUCCAUAGAUUGCAGUGAACAGGCACAAAACAGUCACCAGAGAAUUACUUAGAAGCUGUCCUUCCCAGUUCUGACAGUGAGCAGAGAAGCUGUAUCCUACACUAGAGGCCACAAUUCCCACUCUUAUUCUCACCUGCAUCGUUCAGCCAUUGAUUACAGUAUUGUGCACGAUGCAGAAAAGUAGCAGGAUCCUGAUCUGGAAAUGGGUCAGAUUCAAGCGUGACACAGGUAUUGUAGAGAGCUGCUAGCUCGUGUAACAAAUGGGCUGCAGACUGCAUUGAGCACCUGAAAUAAAAAGGUGGGAGGAUAGCAGAUGAGAUCCUGGUAGAAGCAGGCAGUUUAGCAACUGAAGCCAGGUCGUGCGUUCAACUCAUUAUAGAACCAUCAAUAAAAACGAAUUCAGUUAUAAUUUUUCAGCUUUUGUGAAUAUGCAGCUUCUCUGAAUGAUAUCACCCCUGCAGCACGUUCACAGAUAUAUUCCAAAAAGACCAUAUAGCACCACAAAGAAUAUCCACGUGUAAGCAUAAAGAUAGAGCUUAAAUAUCCACAUGUAAGCAUAAAGAUAAAUAAAAUGACAGCCUUUCUUUCUUGCAGAUUCUUCUGCUACUUGUGCCCUUUCUACUCUUAAGCUCUAUUCAUCAAUAAAUUAAUUCAAGGAAGGAAGAGGGUAAUUGCUUUGCUGCAGCUAAAAACUUCAGCAGAUUUUCCAUAUAUUUCCUUAUAGCCAUAAGGGGGACAACAUAGAUCAUAAACUAGUUAUCAGAAAUUGUGUGGUGUUUUCCUGGCAACUAAAUUAAAGUUAGAGGGGAAGGUUAUCCAUUAAAUGACUUUUCAAGAAGACUUAAAAUGUGGGAUCUAUUUCCAGUUUAGUCUUCUGGGGGCUGGAUUCAGAGGGCUUCUUUUCCUGUUUGUCUCCAAAUCUAUGAGAAUUUUGUUUUCAUGUAUUUCUAUUACCAAACAAAAUGAGCUGUGCAUAAAUAACUGAUGGAACUGAGCUAUCUGGAAGAUUUCCAAUUAAGAUUAGUUUGUCAUUACAUAAACAAAUGUUAAGGAUUUUUUUACUGGUGCUCCAUCAGAGGACAACUUGGAUGGAAGAAUUGCACUUCAGCUCAAGAAAAGAAAUCUGCUGUAUGAACAUAUUCUCUUCUAACAAACAAAAGCUCCUCACACUUCCAGAAGGAAUCAUUCACCACAGUUCCUCUGCAAUAAUGACUGACACUGAAUGCUUGACACAAAGAUGUAAAAUAUGCAGGAUAUUUCAAAAAUAUACCAAUGGAAGGAAUGUCAUAAACCUUGAUCAUGGCAAAGCCUGUACACUUAGAUUAGCCCCCUUGAUUUAAGUGAAGCUGCCUACAAGUGUACAGUUAACUACACAGCUGAGGUUAAACAUUAUCAAAGUUAAAAUUAAAGUCUAGAUCCACUAAAAAUCUUUGGAUUUUUUUGCUAUGGACUUGGAUGUUGUUUUUUUGUUGUCAUUUUGUUUUGUUUUUCUGUACAGACUAGACAGAGAUGAUUUGUGAAAGUUGCAGAAUAAGAAGCACUACAAAAGCAGUAUGAUUUGAUCAUGACUUGUGGCAACAGAGAGAAAAAAAUGUAAAAAUGGUGCAAAUUUCAGUCCUCACACAGAGGUGAGUAGAGUUCCAAAAGGAGUAGUAGAUAGUAAAAGAGAACUGCUACAGAAGCGGUGAAAAAGAUUGAAUUGAAUGUAUUGAAUGUUUUCAUUUCAGUCAAGAGCAAUUCAUAAUUUCCAGAUCAGCAGUUCACAGAAUCACACAGUCACAGCAGGGCUGAGGCUGGCGGGGACCUCUGGGGGCACUGCUCCAACCCCUGCUCAGGCAAGGCCACCCAGAGCAGGGUGCCCAGUCCAGGGGGCUUUUGGAGAUCCCCAAGGAGGGUGACCCCACAGCUUCCAUGGGCAGCCUGUGCCCAUGUUCCUACACCUGCACAGCAAAGCAGUGCUUCUACAUACCUAAGUCAUGGCUGCCUAAUCUUUGCACGAUCAGAAAACUAUGCUUAAAAAACAGUGCUAGUUACCAACUAGCUUAAGGUCUGGAUGUACCACAGAUUCAAAGAAGAAAAUGAAAAACCAUCAAAAAAAUCAACAGAAAAAACAAUUUCAGAAUUUUAGUAGAUACUUUCUGGGCAGAAAGAACACUAAAAGAAUCAGAUCCAUUAUUUAUGGUAAAUUAUCCUCUCACCUGUGCUCAAAAUUCAAUCUAUUGGCAAGUUUGAAGUGACAAAAAAAUUACCUGACUCCUAUUUAGAGAAGCAUCUAAUUUUUGCUUCAUAGGAAGACCUGAAGUGGUGUCUUGAUUCCUCUGCAUACUGUCACAGAACAUGGAUUAAAAGUAAAAAGCAGCUACAAGGAAAGAAAACUUCUCUCUCUUGGGUUUUAUCUUUCAUUUGCAGGUUGUGGCCAGAUAGCUCAUGCCAUAUACAUUCUUUGUUAAUGCAGUGCUGUAUGACCUUGUCCAUAGAUUCUUGCCUACACAUGUUCCUGCUAUAUAAUAGAGUGUCAGAUACGAUGAACGUCAAGGUGUUUCUUUCAUUUGAGAAGAGCACUGUAAGCCACUCCAUUUCCCUCUGUGGUACUCUGCUGAGAAAUGUUUUAGUAUAAACGUUUAAAAGUGCAUACAAAUGUAGAAAUAAAUGGAGAUUUUGGAAUGAACAACAAAAAUUAUUAAAAGCAUGGAUAACCUCUAC